rnacentral:rRNA from 1 species
UACGAAGGGGGCUAGCGUUGCUCGGAAUCACUGGGCGUAAAGCGCACGUAGGCGGAUUGCUAAGUCAGGGGUGAAAUCCUGGAGCUCAACUCCAGAACUGCCUUUGAUACUGGCGACCUUGAGUCCGGGAGAGGUGAGUGGAACUGCGAGUGUAGAGGUGAAAUUCGUAGAUAUUCGCAAGAACACCAGUGGCGAAGGCGGCUCAUUGGCCCGGUACUGACGCUGAGGCACGAAAGCGUGGGGAGCAAACAGG